rnacentral:rRNA from 1 species
CCUACGGGAGGCAGCAGUGAGGAAUAUUGGUCAAUGGUCGGGAGACUGAACCAGCCAAGCCGCGUGAGGGAGGAAGGUACAGAGUAUCGUAAACCUCUUUUGUCAGGGAACAAAGGCGGGGACGUGUCCCCGGAUGAGUGUACCUGAAGAAAAAGCAUCGGCUAACUCCGUGCCAGCAGCCGCGGUAAUACGGAGGAUGCGAGCGUUAUCCGGAUUUAUUGGGUUUAAGGGGUGCGCAGGCGGUCUGUUAAGUCAGCGGUCAAAGCCCGGGGCUCAACCCCGGCCCGCCGUUGAAACUGACAGUCGCGAGUUGGAGAGAAGUAUGCGGAAUGCGCGGUGUAGCGGUGAAAUGCAUAGAUAUCGCGCAGAACUCCGAUUGCGAAGGCAGCAUGCCGGCUCCACACUGACGCUGAGGCACGAAAGCGUGGGUAUCGAACAGGAUUAGAUACCCUUGUAGUC